CCCCUGCCUUGAUGAAAUGCAUGUUCAGUCCGUGUUUCAGCUGACCACCCUGAUUAUACACAUGCGCUGAGCAGGAG
rnacentral:snoRNA from 13 species